GGGCUGCCAAUUUCCACCGUGCAGAGAAAUCUGGGCAAAUUAGACACGGCGGCCUCUUGCGACGCGGCAACCUGUCUGCACCUUGUCGGAAUGGCACUGCCCAGCUACCACUGUGCCAGGCCAGGGAUCAAGAGUGCCUGUAGGGUGAGGCCUGGAAUGAGGUUUUCCUUGGCCAUCUGCCUUUGGUAAGUAUGAGUGAGCAUGUCAUCACCCCUUCUGAAACACACCUGGUCACAGGGAACAAGACUGGCCCAGGGGCCCACAGUUUAUGCGGACAAGCUGUCAGCAGACACUUUCCGCUGUCUGACAGCAUCGGAAGCACGGAGUGAGGAUUCACCAGUACGGCUCGACACCAGUUUAGACACAAAGAAUGUUGUGCACAUAGCUGAGGCUAUUGGUGACAUAGAGGCAGGGAAUGGAGUGCUGGUGUUGUGGUGAAUCCGGAGAUCUCACCAGGAACAACACAAUGGUGCAGGAUGGAGCCAGAGUGCCCUUACUGUGAAUAUGUACAUCUGCUGGCAGUGCCAUGAUUUGCGCUGCAGCUCUCAACCCUAGCAGGUCUCUUUUUAGCAUGUUGGUGUGAACUUCAUCAGACCAUCAUAACAAAGUUCCUAGCAGUAUCGAAUUUGCUGUGGACGUUGUAGACUGUGCAACCUGCUUCCAAAAGCACUGCCAUCGCAAAACCAACCAGCCAACGUCAACAACCGCUUGUCCUGAGCAGAGUUGCAGCGAGCCGGAGCCCAUCGCAGAAGCACAGGGCGCAAGGCUGAGGAGGGAGGGGACACAGCCUGGGCGGGAUGCCAGUCCACUGCAAGACACCCCAAGCAGGACUUGAGCCCCAGCCCCACUGCAUAGUGGACACCGGCCAAACCUGCCGUGCCGCCACACCCCCCAUCGCAAAAUGCCUCAGCAAAAAAGUGAGUGCCAAAACUCUGUUUUACUUGUUCUUCUAACAGCGAUUUAAUUGCCCCAUAUUAAGCACAUGGAGAAUGGAAAGAAACUUUUUUCCUGCACCAAGAAAAUCUUUCAAAUGUAGUAAUUUGUUUUUCUUGUCAUUUAUCGUUGCCAUUUUUUUGACUUGUCUUUUUGACUGGUAAUUUUGUCGUUUUGCAUUCUUAUUAAUGGGUAUACAACUCAUAUGAACAUGCAUUAUGUGGCCCUAAUGUUUUUGUUUGUUCAACCACACCACAUGUUCUAUGUCCAUCGUUUUAUCUGUAGUGGCCUAGUUCGUGACACCAGCUUAAUCCAUAAUGCAGUUUCAAUGCGCUUAAUAUAUCUGUUUCUAUACUUUCCCAUAUACAAAAUAUUGUAAUUGGAUAUGGGGGGUGCGGUGGCGCAGUGGGUUGGACCACAGUCCUGCUCUCCAGGGGGUCUGGGGUUCGAGUCCCGCUUGGGGUGCCUUGCGACGGACUGGCGUCCCGUCCUGGGUGUGUCCCCU
rnacentral:lncRNA from 1 species